rnacentral:rRNA from 1 species
UACAGAGGUCCCAAGCGUUGUUCGGAUUUACUGGGCGUAAAGGGCGCGUAGGCGGCAAUUCAAGUCAUCUGUGAAAUCCUCCGGGCUUAACCCGGGAAGCGGUCAGAUGAUACUGCUUUGACUAGAGUGCGGGAAGGGCAAUCGGAAUUCUUGGUGUAGACGGUGAAAUGCGUAGAUAGUCAAGAGGAACACCUGAGGUGAAGACGGGUUGCUGGGCCGACACUGACGCUGACA